AGGUUAACAUAUUUUUAGAUAUAACGUGUUUUAUUUUUUAGUCCUAAACAGUUUAAUUUAGGCUUAUAGUCUUAUUAUUAUUUUAAAGUUUUAUCUAAAGUUUAGAGAUCUAAAUUAAUGAGGCCUUGGUUUUAUAUAUUAAAUGAAUUAUAUAUAGAUUAAAUAAUUAAAUACCGGCGAAAAACGUGCCAGCCGCCGCGGUUAGACGAGAGGUGUAAAAUAAGAUUAUUUUUGAGGUAAGAAAUUUUAUGUGUCUUAGUAAAUAAUAUUUUUUAUUUAGGUAAAAUUUAUAAUUGUUUUAUUUUACUAAAAAGUUUCUUAAAAGAUUAGGUUUAAAAACUAGGAUUAGAUACCCUAUUAUUCUAAUUUAUUAAAUUCCUUAAAGGAUUAAACUAGGUAAAUAAAAUUAAAAAUUUUGGCGGUGUUUUAACCAAGCAGAGGAACUUGCCCUUUAAUUGAUACCCCUCAUAAAAUCUUAUUUUAGCUAAUGUUCAUAUACCGUUGUUGUCAGUUUACUUUUUAAGAAAAAUUGAGUUUUCAAAAUAAUUAUUUAAUUAUAACUUCAAAUCAAGGUGUGGUAAAUGCUAAAAGUUGAGGUGAGUUACAUUAAUUUAACUUGUGGAUUAAUUUUAAUGAAAUUAAAUUAUAAAAAUGGAUUUGCUAGUAAAUUAAGAAUAACAUGCUUAUUUGAAAUAGGCUAUAAAACAUGUACAUAUCGCCCGUCACUCUGGUUCUUAAAGCUAGAUAAGUCGUAACAAAGUAAGUUUAAGGGAACUUGAAUCUAGAUUAG
rnacentral:rRNA from 1 species